CAGGGCCACGUGUUACCGUAAACCAUGCUGUGUAGUAGAGCAAGACCUUCACUACCAAUCUUCCUGCCUCUACUUCUGAAGUGCUGAGAAUACAGGUGAGAAGACACCCCUGUGUGUGUGGGGGGGUGCUCAUCCCCAAAUAACAUACCACGGAGGCAAAGAAGGACGAACUGGAGGUGUUUGAAGCUCACCCAACCCUGUGAUCACCAAUUCCCACCGAGGUGUUUGAAGCUUGCCCAACCCCGUGAGCACCAGUUCCCACCUGCUGGAAGACGCUGAGCCUAAAGCAGCUUCAGCCCAGAGGGAGGAGUUAGAGCCACAGUGUUUUCAAAUGAACCACACACAGCUUGUGUAGAGUCCACACAUGGCAUGGCACCCAAGGGCUGUGGAACACCUACGGGGCUUUCAGAUGAGUGAGGCCCCGGAGCUUUGUGUCCUGUUGGAGAUGACUGCUAACUUCUACAGCGUGUCUGUGUGGUUCCUGGUUUUCAUCUCUCAAGAGAAGUGCGGGGUGGAGACAGACCAGUGCUCCUCGCAGGCAACUUUCCGGGCUGUCAGGGUUGAGGUUAAGUGAGAAUCCAAAGCAGAGUAUGGCAUCCUGAGCUUCAGUACGAUCUCCAUCAUCCCUAGGUCCAACCUUCUCCCAGUGGUAGCGGGGUGCCUGGCUGUCUAAAGGAGCUGUAGGACGGAGUGCCACACAGCACAGAUCAGCAGGAUGGGGCUGCAUACAAAAUACGCUGAGGAUGCUCACCGCAUGCCUAAGACAUUCUCUGGUAUUGAGACAACCUUCCCCAAAGCGUGGCUAAAGCACAGGUCCUUCCCUGUCCAUCACUGGGGAAUCGGGCCUGUUUCUGUGACAGCAGCAACAAAUGGGUAAUGGGGGACCAAUCAGAAAGCCCCUUGCUGCACACGUGACAUGAGACCCUCCCUACACACAGCCUAAAGCAGCCAGCAGCAUUGGAGGUUUCUGUGGGGUACCCAGCCCUAGCCCAGGCUGGCUGUCCAGCUCUGCCCAGGCUGUCCAUCUCUUUGCCUCUGCAGCACUGUGAACACCACCCGGUGUAUAAGCUCAUCCUAGCAGCC
rnacentral:lncRNA from 1 species